rnacentral:lncRNA from 1 species
UAAAGUUUUGCCCUCAUGAAUUUGGACAUGACCCCAGAUACUGUUUGUGUACUUUACUGGGAUUCCUUGGUACAGCUUUAUAAUUCUGGAAUGACUCUUACUGCUUCUGUCUUUGGAGCAUGGCUGUGCAUAUGAAGCUACUGAGAAGAGUGGCCAAAGCAAUUUGGAAGGAAUGACUCUUCACAAGAUUUAGUUCCGUCUCAUACUUCCAGGGCUGGUAAAAGGAAAUCUCUCAUUUCUAAAAGAGAAUUUCAGCUGUUCUGAACUUCAAAAGGUGAUAUAUUGUGCUUUCAUCAUCAAUCAUCAUCAUCAUCAUCAUCAUCCUGAGAAAGUCUAAAACAUAAUUACAGAACUUUAAGGGUUAUCUACCUUGGUUUUGCAGAAUCUUUUCAUAUAUUCUAUAUUGUUUAUCCAUCCUUGAACAUGAAGAGAUUGAGUUAGGCCUGACAUUAAGUAUAAAUCAGUUUUAAGUAGAAUGACCCCUCCUACGUACCAACAACAACAAAAAAGAUUAUCAGAAAUUUCUGGAAAUACAGCUUUUGUAAAAUAACACUUCUGACAACCAAUCUAACAACUUCAGUGAUGAUAUUGCUUAGGGAAGUUCAGGAGUCUAAUUCUACAGCAAAUUUCAGGUGGAAUGUCCUUCUUAAGGUAGCCACCCACCAUCGCAGAUAAAAAAAUUCAUUCUCCAAGAGAGAAGAGAGACUUGUCCAAGGUCAUUCAGCAAAUGAGUGAGGACUCAGAUCCACCCAACAUUCUUCCCUAAAUCAAAGCUAUGAAAGAUCAUUAGGGAAGAUCUUGCCUAAUCUUCCAAUUCUACUGCACGGAAACAGGAAGUAUGAUUCCAAAGAAUGGGCCUAUGAGUGCACUUCCAAACCACAGCUAAUUUUCCCUAAGAGUCUUCCGGAUGGUGGGUUUUUUGAGUACUUUCCAGAAAAAAAAAGUCAAUUAAUAUCUUACUGUUACUUGUACAUAGAAUUGUAUAUAACUGUUCAAUAAAUUGCAAAACAGAGCCUCUGGCUUCAC